AAUGCAGGCCUGUUUCUUUGAAUAGCUGAGUGCAGAUUAGUGGUCUGCCAAUUUCCUGUGGCCUUUCAGACCUGCAAUUUGAGCCCUGUUUGCUCCGGGCCCUUGCACAAUUGGAGACAAUGGGUGACUUCACUCCGGGGCUCUCAGAACCAGGGGAAGUGGCUAAAGCCCUACUUUACAGGCUGUUGUACCAGAAGACCAUUUUCCUGAGGUGGAGCGAGGGAGGAAGGGACGGGGCUUGGCCGCACCCUGAAGCCACCAAGCCUCUUUUUAAAGGACUGGCUACAUUAAAACCUUCAAAUGCCUUAUCCAUCUUUGAUGCCACCACACGGUCUCACACGUCUGGACGCCAUAUUCUGCAUGGCCUGGUGUGGGGCAGAGAUUGACUCCCAGCCUUCUUGACCACAUUCCCAGACCCAAAGGAGGACAAGCCCUUGAACAUCUAUGGUACCUUCUGAGGACUAAGCCAACCCAUGUUUUUUUUUUUUCUAUAGAAUAUACCUUGAGAGUCUUAUGUUACCCAGAGUCAUUAAUUAUGUAAAUUUUCUUUGCUUAGCAAUUAGAAACAGGAUGAAGGAUGAUGGGAGAGAGGGGAUUUUUUUUUUUUUUGAGCAGACAAAAUGAGAAUACUGAGAAAUAACUAAUAUCAAUCCAAAAGAUGUCCUCUGCACUGUGGCAUGAAGGAUCCCUUCACUUUAAGCACAAAAUUGUUCCCAAGAAUAUCGCUGUAUGAUGACAUAGUGUGGUAUUUUAUUUUCAUCAUAACAAUCUUGAAUUUAAAGAGAUUUGUUUUUAUAUUCUGACAUUAAAAUGGCUCUAGAUAGAAUUUAAGAUAAAAAUUUUAAUUCUUUAUGGAGUACAUUUGAGUUAUUUGAAACAUUAGGCUGUGCAUACUGA